rnacentral:rRNA from 1 species
AAAUAGAUACCCUGGUAGUCCACGCCGUAAACGAUGAGUGCUAAGUGUUAGAGGGUUUCCGCCCUUUAGUGCUGAAGUUAACGCAUUAAGCACUCCGCCUGGGGAGUACGGCCGCAAGGCUGAAACUCAAAGGAAUUGACGGGGGCCCGCACAAGCGGUGGAGCAUGUGGUUUAAUUCGAAGCAACGCGAAGAACCUUACCAGGUCUUGACAUCCUCUGACAACCCUAGAGAUAGGGCUUCUCCUUCGGGAGCAAAGUGACAGGUGGUGCAUGGUUGUCGUCAGCUCGUGUCGUGAGAUGUUGGGUUAAGUCCCGCAACGAGCGCAACCCUUGAUCUUAGUUGCCAUCAUUAAGUUGGGCACUCUAGGGUGACUGCCGGUGACAAACCGGAGGAAGGUGGGGAUGACGUCAAAUCAUCAUGCCCCUUAUGACCUGGGCUACACACGUGCUACAAUGGACGGUACAAAGAGCUGCAAGACCGCGAGGUGGAGCUAAUCUCAUAAAACCCGUUCUCAGUUCGGAUUGUAGG